rnacentral:lncRNA from 1 species
CAUGAAUAAAAGUCAAGCCCUUUCUUUGCUCAUUGCUCAGCCUCUGGGUAUUAAUCUGCUGAGCUGGUGGCCACCUAAAUACAAUCGUCCUGUUCCCCUCAUUGGUCUCUCCGGUCUCCUGAUUCCAGCCACAUUUUGGUGAGCCAGCCAGGAGUGAAGACGACAGGUUUGCUGUCUCCUUUGCCUGUGGGUCUGGGGCCCCAGCCUGGGGGAGACCCGUGACUCCAGGCAUGCUAUCAGGACAACUUCAACCCGAGGGGAGAUCAGCUCUCCCGCAACCUGGUGCCGCUCUCUGACAGCACAACAGAACCUAAGGGGCUACAGGAUGAUUCAAGGAACAGUGUGCUACAGGACCUCGCAAGAAGACCCUCACCAGAUGCAGCCCCUCUAUGUUGGACUUCCCAGCCUCCGGAAGUUAGAAAUGUGCUACAACCACUCAAGGUCUGCAAACAGAUUCCUAUUUAGAUGUUGUUGAGAGUUUCGUUCUUGUCGCCCAGGCUGGAGUGUCAUUUUAACUUUUAAAACAUCCUGUUCUGUUUCAUUGAUGGGGUCUCGCUCUGUCCUGGAGUGCAAUGGCACGAUCUUGGCUCACUGCAACCUCCGCCUCCCAGGUUCAAGCAAUUCUCCUGCCUCAGCCUCCCGAGUAGCUGGGACUACAGGCACACGCCAACACGCCAGGCUAAUUUUUUGUAUUUUUAAUAGAGAUGGAGUUUCACCAUGUUCCCCAGGCUGGUCUUGAACUCCUGAGCUCAGGCAAUCCACCUUCCUCUGCCUCCCAAAGUGCUAGGAUUACAGGCGUGAGCCACCGCGCCCGGUCUAUUUAUUUUCUUAACAGGGUAUUUUGCUAAGAAGUUUUACAUUUUGGUGAAGUCUAGUUUUUCCAUUUUUUUAUUAUGCUUAUUAUUUCUUAUGACUUCAGAUUUCCUUCCCUUCACUUAAUUAAUGGAGGUAUUGUAGUAUGAUUUCUUUUACCUUGUAUUUUGAAAUUUUACCUUUUACUCUGUGGUCCAUCUUGAAUUAUCUUUUAUGUAUGAUGUGAGGAUGUGAGAUUACUUUUCUUCAUAUGAAAAUGCAAUUUUUCCACCUUCCAUUCUUGAAGAAAUUAACUUUCCCCAUUUGACUGUUUUGGUGUAUUGGACAGUAAGUUUAAAAAUAUGUUUUAAAAAGUAUUUGCCAUGUUUAAAAAAUGUUUAGAAAGAAAGGCCACAUUCUUGUCUUUUUCCUUAUCUUAGAGGAAAAGGCUUCAACUUUUCACAUUGAGUAUGAUGUUAGCUGUUGGAUUGUCAUACAUGGAUUUUCUUGUUGGUGAACUUUUCUUCUAUACCUAAUUUGUAAUUGAUAAUAAUAAUAUAUUGUUUAUAUCAAAACAGCUAAAAAAGGGAUUUUAAAUGCUCUCACCACAAAGAAAUGAUAGUAUUUGGGUGGGAUAAAUAUGUUAAUUGACCAUAUUUGAUUAUUCCACAAUGUACAUGUAACAAAACACCACAUUGUACCCCAUAAAUAUAUAAAAUUAUUAUUUGCAAUUAGAAAUAAAAUAUAACUUAAAAAAGAAAAUCCAUAACUCCUUUCUAUAAUUUAUGAAUGUAUGUCAAAAGUCUUAAAUUUGGUUUUAAAUAUCUUGCUGUAACUGAUCUUUACUGUCUAUUUACAGGUCACUAGACAUCCUGCUCCAGGUGUAAUUAUGCUAUUAACACAAACAACAGCUGGCUCACAUGUACUAAGCUCACAUGUACUAAGCUCACUUGUACUAGCAGCUCAUUGAGCCCACAUGUACUAAGCAGCGUGAUAAGUACUUGUAUAUGCAGUAUGUCAUAUACAGGCAAUAAUUUUA